GAUGAACGCUGGCGGCGUGCCUAAUACAUGCAAGUCGAGCGAAGCGUGGACGGGUGAGUAACACAUGGCGAACCUCCUCUAAGACGGGGAAAACUUAGGGGAACCGGGGCUUAACCGGAAACUUAUAGAUGGAUCCGCGCUGCAUUAGCUAGUUGGUAAGGUAACGGCGUACAAAGGCAACGAUCCAUAGACGACCUGAGAGGGUGAUCAGCCACACUGGAACUGAGACACGGUCCAGACUCCUACGGGAGGCAGCAGUAGGGAAUUGUCCGCAAUGGGCGAAAGCCUGACCCAGCCAUGCCGCGUGUAUGAUGAAGGUCUUCGGGUCGUAAAGCUCUUUUAUUAGGGAAGCGGUACCUACUCAAUAAGCACCGGCUAACUACGUGCCAGCAGCCGCGGUAAUUC
rnacentral:rRNA from 1 species